ensembl:misc_RNA Y_RNA Y RNA
GGCUGGUCUGGAGGGAGCGAGUUACCUCCACUAGUUAUUCACAGUCAGGCACAGCUCCAACUCCCCCUUCUUCUCUUUCUCCACUUCUCACUACUGUCCUGGACUAGUCUUUA